rnacentral:lncRNA from 1 species
AUGGAGGCUUCCCGUGAGCAUAAUGCGAUUUCUCUUUCCACAUGGUUCUUUUGCACGGCCAUGCCUCCUCACAGCAGGCACCUGACGAUCCAGGGACCCUCGCCAGCCAAUUUACAUAAAGCGGGCUCCGUGUCUGACGUUGACUUGGCGACACAUGCAAACAGCGACUUAUCUUGAAAUGGAAAUCAGAGCCCUAAUGCAGGGAACCCGGGACGUGCUGCACCGGCUAAUGCUGACAGAGAUGAGUUUUUCCGCUCGUUGCGGUGAGCGAUGCUGCUGGGAGCUCUGCUUGAGUCGAGAGUCAGGUCAAUAAUCAGAGUGCACUGCAGCCAUUGCUCCAAAGCCACACUGAUCAAGAGCGCCGAAGCACCGAGGCUUCAUUUCCUUCAUUUCAGCACCAACUUGUGUCCUUAAUGAUGAGCGAAAGAAAUCAAAACAUUUUUCUGGUAUAUAACUGGGUAAUAGAACUGACUAAGUGUAGCAUGCUUUCUUAAUGAAAAAGAGCUGUUAUAUAACAAUAAUACUGUUAUAACUGAUGUAAUUAAUGAGCUUUGGCUGAUUAACUCUGUAUUUACACAAAACAUUAUGCAAUUGGUUGCAUAUUCAUACUGCAUGUGGCAAAAAGACAUUAUCAAAGGCUAAAUAAAAGCUGGU